rnacentral:rRNA from 1 species
CUCCUACGGGGCGCAGCAGUGAGGAAUAUUGGUCAAUGGUCGGGAGACUGAACCAGCCAAGCCGCGUGAGGGAUGAAGGUACAGAGUAUCGUAAACCUCUUUUGUCAGGGAACAAAGGCGGGGACGUGUCCCCGGAUGAGUGUACCUGAAGAAAAAGCAUCGGCUAACUCCGUGCCAGCAGCCGCGGUAAUACGUAGGGGGCAAGCGUUAUCCGGAAUUACUGGGUGUAAAGGGAGCGUAGACGGCUGUGCAAGUCUGGAGUGAAAGGCGGGGGCCCACCCCCCGGACUGCUCUGGAAACUGUAU